rnacentral:rRNA from 1 species
GCUUAAAAUCCAAAGGACUUGACGGUGUCCCAUCCUACUAGAGGAGCCUGUUUUAUAAUCGAUAAUCCCCGCUCUACCUUACCACCUCUCGCUUACACGCAGCCUGUAUACCUCCGUCGCAAGCUCGCCAUAUGAAUGUUUCAUAGCGAGCUUAAUGACUCUUACGCCAACACGUCAGGUCAAGGUGCAGCCCAUGAAGUGGAAAAUAAUGGGCUACAAUUUCUAACUUAGAACAAACGAACAAUCAUCUGAAACGACGAUCAUGAAGGAGGAUUUAGUAGUAAAGAGGGAAAAUUAUGCCCCCUUUAACAAUGGCCCUGGGACGUGUACAAACCGCCCGUCACCCUCUUCAACAACUCCCCCCUGUCCCUAACCCUUUACAUGUUUCCCAGAAGAGGCAAGUCGUAACAAGGUAAGUGUACUGGAAAGUGCACUUGGAUAACAAAAUGUAGCUUAGAAAAGCCCUCCGCUUACGCCGGAAAGACAUCCGUUAAAACCAGAUCAUUUUGAGCCGUAACUCU